UAGAGCAUAAUCGAUUAACUUAAUUGACUACUAAAACACGUAGUCGAUUAAGGGUCCAGCCUGGCGAAUUUUCCUACACGCGCCGUCCUCCGCGUGAUCUACUAAAAAAUCCUAGACCUGUGAUACGAACCACGCCAACAUCGUGACGAGACCCGGUAUCAAUACUUCGGAUUUCAAAUCCUGGACCGUCCAAAGAAGGAAUCAAAGGUGGAACCUCGACCCAUUGCCUAUAAAGAGGCAAGAACCUUGGUAUGCGAAGACGCCACAAUCAAUUGCGGAAGAUUGAUUGAUGAGUCAGGGGCGAACGCCACGGAGAGCAACUCCGAUAAGUUCAUUUAAAAAAAAACAAUGGUUCUUGAAGAACCGAAGAGACACACUCUUAUCCAAAGAUUUUAAUACAUUGUUGUGUCUUUUUAUUCAAACAAGAUGAUCCCUUUAUAUAGGGUUCAAUGCUAUCUUAUCUACGGAAAGAAACUAAGAACUAGGAAUUAUUAUCUACCUAAUCAAAUCAGCCACAAAUCAGCCAAUCUAAUUAACAUUUAUUGAAUCUAAAUUAAGAAAGCUUUUAAAAUCAUGGUCUUGAUCCUCCAAUGCUGAUAUGCACUAAUCAAGAGCCCUCCAAACUCCAAAAAACGUGUGCAUGUUUUAUUUUGUAAAUCUUGGACCUUCCAAAGCCUUAAAAAUAUGUGAUUGCAUCAAUUAGAACAAUCCAAGAUUGAUAUCUUUGUGGAUGAAGCCUCUCAUAUCUGAUCUGGACCAAUUUAAAAAUCUGAAUCGAAAACCGUUAAAAUCGUUGAUUGCUUGAUGUGAUUGGGAUCACAUCAUACUCCCUUUCUUCAAAAAGAAUUCGUCCUCGAAUUCGGUUCCUUGGAAUGAGCGUGUAUGAUUGGAAACGAAUCCAUGAGGCUGAAAGGUGUUUGGUAGAAAUUGGUACUGUUUUUUUUUUUUUUUUUUUUUUUUUUGAUAAUGGACUCUAGAAGAACAAAGAUAGAUAAGGAGUAGAAGAACUGGGAUAACUCAAGAACGUAGAAGAAGAUAAUUUAGGGAAGACCAAAAGACUCAAACAAAAAAAAAACAAAGGAAAAAAAAAAGACUCAAAAGGAUAGGCGAAACCUUCUCCGGAAGUUGGCUCUGAUACCAAAUGAUACGAACCACGCCAACAUCGUGACGAGACCCGGUAUCAAUACUUCGGAUUUCAAAUCCUGGACCGUCCAAAGAAGGAAUCAAAGGUGGAACCUCGACCCAUUGCCUAUAAAGAGGCAAGAACCUUGGUAUGCGAAGACGCCACAAUCAAUUGCGGAAGAUUGAUUGAUGAGUCAGGGGCGAACGCCACGGAGAGAAACUCCGAUAAGUUCAUUUAAAAAAAAACAAUGGUUCUUGAAGAACCGAAGAGACACACUCUUAUCCAAAGAUUUUAAUACAUUGUUGUGUCUUUUUAUUCAAACAAGAUGAUCCCUUUAUAUAGGGUUCAAUGCUAUCUUAUCUACGGAAAGAAACUAAGAACUAGGAAUUAUUAUCUACCUAACCAAAUCAGCCACAAAUCAGCCAAUCUAAUUAACAUUUAUUGAAUCUAAAUUAAGAAAGCUUUUAAAAUCAUGGUCUUGAUCCUCCAAUGCUGAUAUGCACUAAUCAAGAGCCCUCCAAACUCCAAAAAACGUGUGCAUGUUUUAUUUUGUAAAUCUUGGACCUUCCAAAGCCUUAAAAAUAUGUGAUUGCAUCAAUUAGAACAAUCCAAGAUUGAUAUCUUUGUGGAUGAAGCCUCUCAUAUCUGAUCUGGACCAAUUGAAAAAUCUGAAUCGAAAACCGUUAAAAUCGUUGAUUGCUUGAUGUGAUUGGGAUCACA
rnacentral:lncRNA from 1 species